UUUUGGUAAAAAUUAUUGGUUGCUUUUUCGUUUUCUUCUUCUUUUAUACGCGUAUUUUGUUUUUGUGGUUUGCUUGGACAAUUUCUCGUGAAAUGACCCGGCUUGUCGCACCGAUAGAAGUUUUUUCCUUGUUUCGAAUUCCCCGAAUUCCGACCAACCUACGAUUGAUUUAGCCUUUUCUUUGUGUAAAGCACAUUAUAGUCCACUUUGUCCUUUUUUGAUUUUCCCGACUCAUAUUCUUCGAGGAUUUUCACGCGCUUCGGCAAAUCGUAUCGCGUUUUCACCGCUCAUACGACGCUGGCAGACUAUUCAACAACAAGAUUGCUAGCAGCUCGUCGCCAACUUAAACGUUUCUACCGCUUUUCUAUCUGGCCCUUUGGAUUGGAAUGUCGAUUCCAAUCUUAACCGAAUUUCACGUGGACUGCUGCAUUUUGAAAUUAUCCCUAGCUCUGUUGUUGCUAUCGCGAACGUAUGUCCGCUAAUACCUUUUGAUCAGCAAUUUUCCACUCGAUGAGUAUUGCCUCAUCCGUAGGCUUCGCGAUAGAGCCAUCUACGUAGCUCCCCAGAUCAGUUUUGAUAAACUGAUAAACUUCACUUUAUUUUUCACCGUUCACAGUCUCUCGGGCGCUGGGGCAUAACCUAAAGUUCCGAGGGUUUUGAAUGUUACUUAACGACUGACUUUAUUCAAUACGAACAAACGUUUACAAAGAAUGAAUGAUGAAAGAACACAAUUGAUAAUUAUCCGUUUGAAUUUUCUGACAGUUUUGAUAAUAUAUAAUGAAAGUCAAACAGUGAGGCAUCGGGUGCACCCCCUGAUCGUCACUGGUUGUAAAAUUGUUUAAAACUAUGGAAACUUCGAUGGUUCCGGGUGCACCAAGGAGUGGUAAAAAAAGAUUAUUUUGCAUCCGGUUUAUUCAGCUCACGAACUCUGGUGUUUACAUCAGCCGAACAUCCAUUUGUAAGCGAGCUAAUGUGAGAAGCCAAACCUCCCCAGUAAUGGUUUGUACGCUGCCCUUGGGACCCGCCACGUAAAAAAACGCCAAUGAAUAGUCCAAAUGAGACCCCUUUUGGGGUGACGACGCCUGCAAACGUUUUAAGGACUAAGAUUUGGGGCCUUGGACCGGGCAAAGUAGGAAAACAACAGGGCCCUCCGACGUCUAUUACAGCUUCCUUUUAAAGGAGGGAAAAUUCGGUGUCGGAAUUAAGGCUGGACCCAAAAUAUUUUAGUUUCUAUCACCAGUUUCCAGCAUAAGAAGCUCCACCAAGCUACGUGGUUGUCACUGGUUUGAAACAAGAAAAUCUAAAUUAUGAUAUUGGGAUGGACGUAAGGCACGUUUCAACUGUGUUAAAUAAAAUACGUAUGAUUCGAAAACCAAAUUUCGAAUCGGAUGUUGUGAUAGACAGAAGGAAUGAUUCCACUGUUUUAAAUGUAAAUUCGCCGAGGACCUAACAUCGAUUCGGCUGGCAAGAUACGCAUACGCAUCUGUGCAUCAAAUAACGUGCGUAUUAAUGUACAAGGAAAGCCCGACGUUGAGGAACUGUAACUGUAACGGCAGCCAAAAGAUGCGCUGGGACUCUUAGAGACCACUAAUCAAUCGUUUAUCGUUCCCCACAUACCGCCGCUGAAGAUCUGAUUGGGCCUUAUCAGUGCGGCUUUAGGACAGGUAUUCUCUAUAAGCAAAAUAUUAGAAAAGACCUGCGAGAUUACGGUCGACUCACACCAUCUUUUUGUGGAUAUCAAAACAGCAUGAACAGAACGAAGAGUAUUUAGUUGCCUUUAUGCCGUGUGAGUUUUUUAAUCUGAUGUUAAAGAAGAUAAUAAGAACGAAGUAUCUCCCUGGCAUCUAACAAACUGUCAGCGCUAACUACCAUCCCUAAAUUGGCGCGUCAAGCGCCAAGGAACUGUGAAAGAUCCUCAUGCCUAUAAAAUUUGUAUGGAGCAUCCCACAAUAACGCGGCGCUAGCCGGAAUUUAAUUUUUGACAGGGCGUUACGUGUUGAAGUUGGAUCCAGAAGAUGGAAAUAAAGAGAAAGUAUAAGGAAUUUAGAGAGGAAACGAGAAUAAAAAGGAGAGGAAAUGAGAAAACGUCAAAAAUUAUGGCGCGUUGGUUUGGGUAUUGUGCGCGCUGGCACUCCUUGGCAUUGGAAAACGCAACGCUCAGCGCUCCAGGUUAAGGAUGGCAGUAAAGCGUCGCGACACACACGUCACCGUUGACAGCUAUAAUUUCGAAGAAGGAGUCAGCAUUACCAUUGAUGAGCCUCAGAGCGAUUUACACACAGUGCAACAGAUUAAAUUACAGGGUCCCGAUGGCUCGGCCGUGUCGUACGAGUAAAAAAACGCACCAUCUCUGAAAGUAUAUAGCGCGAAUCACGCUGGUGGUAGCAGAGGAAGA